UACGUAGGGGGCAAGCGUUGUCCGGAAUCAUUGGGCGUAAAGCGCGUGUAGGCGGCUCGAUAAGUCUGCUGUGAAAGUCCAGGCUCAACCCUGGGAUGCCGGUGGAUACUGUCGAGCUCGAGUCCGGAAGAGGCGAGUGGAAUUCCUGGUGUAGCGGUGAAAUGCGCAGAUAUCAGGAGGAACACCAAUGGCGAAGGCAGCUCGCUGGGACGUGACUGACGCUGAGACGCGAAAGCGUGGGGAGCGAUCCGG
rnacentral:rRNA from 1 species